AGAUUAAGCCAUGCAUGUCUAAGUAUAAGCAAUUAUACCGCGAAACUGCGAAUGGCUCAUUAAAUCAGUUAUCGUUUAUUUGAUAGUACCUUACUACUUGGAUAACCGUGGUAAUUCUAGAGCUAAUACAUGCUAAAAAUCCCGACUUCGGAAGGGAUGUAUUUAUUAGAUUAAAAACCAAUGCCCUUCGGGGCUCACUGGUGAUUCAUAAUAACUUCUCGAAUCGCAUGGCCUUGCGCCGGCGAUGGUUCAUUCAAAUUUCUGCCCUAUCAACUUUCGACGGCUGGGUCUUGGCCAGCCAUGGUGACAACGGGUAACGGAGGGUUAGGGCUCGACCCCGGAGAAGGAGCCUGAGAAACGGCUACUACAUCCAAGGAAGGCAGCAGGCGCGCAAAUUACCCAAUCCCGACGCGGGGAGGUAGUGACAAUAAAUACUGAUACAGGGCUCUUUUGGGUCUUGUAAUUGGAAUGAGUACAAUUUAAAUCCCUUAACGAGGAACAAUUGGAGGGCAAGUCUGGUGCCAGCAGCCGCGGUAAUUCCAGCUCCAAUAGCGUAUAUUAAAGUUGUUGCAGUUAAAAAGCUCGUAGUUGAACCUUGGGCCUGGCUGGCCGGUCCGCCUCACCGCGUGCACUGGUCCGGCCGGGCCUUUCCCUCUGGGGAACCGCAUGCCCUUCACUGGGUGUGCUGGGGAACCAGGACUUUUACUUUGAAAAAAUUAGAGUGUUCAAAGCAGGCCUAUGCUCGAAUACAUUAGCAUGGAAUAAUAGAAUAGGACGUGUGGUUCUAUUUUGUUGGUUUCUAGGACCGCCGUAAUGAUUAAUAGGGACAGUCGGGGGCAUCAGUAUUCAAUUGUCAGAGGUGAAAUUCUUGGAUUUAUUGAAGACUAACUACUGCGAAAGCAUUUGCCAAGGAUGUUUUCAUUAAUCAGGAACGAAAGUUAGGGGAUCGAAGACGAUCAGAUACCGUCGUAGUCUUAACCAUAAACUAUGCCGACCAGGGAUCGGACGAUGUUAUUUUUUGACUCGUUCGGCACCUUACACGAAAGUACAAGUUUCUGGGUUCUGGGGGGAGUAUGGUCGCAAG
rnacentral:rRNA from 1 species